GGGAAACUUGAGCUAAUACCAUAUAAUGUCUUCGGACCAAAGAUUUAUCGCCUGAGNUAAGCCCGCGUAGGAUUAGCUAGUUGGUGAGGUAAAGGCUCACCAAGGCGACGAUCCUUAGCUGGUCUGAGAGGAUGAUCAGCCACACUGGGACUGAGACACGGCCCAGACUCCUACGGGAGGCAGCAGUGGGGGAAUAUUGGACAAUGGGCGAAAGCCCUGAUCCAGCAAUGCCGCGUGAGUGAUGAAGGCCUUCGGGUUGUAAAGCUCUUUUACUCGGGACGAUAAUGACGGUACCGAGAGAAUAAGCCCCGGCUAACUCCGUG
rnacentral:rRNA from 1 species